CUUCAAUUGAGUCCCGUAUGAAUAGGAUUGCUUUAACGGUGGUCUAUGAUAAAGAAAUUUAAAACAAUUUUUUUUUUUUGAUUGACUAUUUUCCGUCUGUUGCAAUUCGGGUUUGAACUAUGUAUAAUAUUUUGUUUUGCCUCUGGUUUGGAGAUAUUACCUGCUUAAUUUUAUGGUUUCUUUGUGUAUGUGGACUAUGUAUGUAUGUAUUUAGUUCAUUUGUGAGGAUGUGAAGGAUUGCAAGGCAAAAACUUGGAGCUGGAGGAUUUCCUGUUCCGAUUUUAGAACAAUCCUUGCAGAGGAUACAGCAGCCUGCAGUAUCCGCGUUGAGAUGUUAUUCAUCUGCUACCAAAGAGAUGAAGAAGAUCACUGUGCUGAGGUCCACAAUAACCAAUCUUCAGCCUAAGGUAGGGUCCAU